UAUGUGUGUGUGUGUGUGUGUUUAUGUGUGUGCGCAUACAUGUACACACAUACACACACACACACACACAUGA
rnacentral:miRNA from 1 species